rnacentral:rRNA from 1 species
AUUGAACGCUGGCGGCAGGCCUAACACAUGCAAGUCGAGCGGAUGAAGGGAGCUUGCUCCUGGAUUCAGCGGCGGACGGGUGAGUAAUGCCUAGGAAUCUGCCUGGUAGUGGGGGAUAACGUCCGGAAACGGGCGCUAAUACCGCAUACGUCCUGAGGGAGAAAGUGGGGGAUCUUCGGACCUCACGCUAUCAGAUGAGCCUAGGUCGGAUUAGCUAGUUGGUGGGGUAAAGGCCUACCAAGGCGACGAUCCGUAACUGGUCUGAUAGGAUGACCAGUCACACUGGAACUGAGACACGGUCCAGACUCCUACGGGAGGCAGCAGUGGGGAAUAUUGGACAAUGGGCGAAAGCCUGAUCCAGCCCUGCCGCGUGUGUGAAGAAGUUCUUCGGAUUUUAAAGCACUUUAAGUUGGGAGGACGGGCAGUAAGUUAAUACCUUGCUGUUUUGACGUUACCAACAGAAUAAGCACCGGCUAACUUCGUG